AAAGGAAUUGACGGGGACCCGCACAAGCGGUGGAGCAUGUGGUUUAAUUCGAAGCAACGCGAAGAACCUUACCAAAUCUUGACAUCCUUUGACAACUCUAGAGAUAGAGCCUUCCCCUUCGGGGGACAAAGUGACAGGUGGUGCAUGGUUGUCGUCAGCUCGUGUCGUGAGAUGUUGGGUUAAGUCCCGCAACGAGCGCAACCCUUAAGCUUAGUUGCCAUCAUUAAGUUGGGCACUCUAAGUUGACUGCCGGUGACAAACCGGAGGAAGGUGGGGAUGACGUCAAAUCAUCAUGCCCCUUAUGAUUUGGGCUACACACGUGCUACAAUGGACAAUACAAAGGGCAGCGAAACCGCGAGGUCAAGCAAAUCCCAUAAAGUUGUUCUCAGUUCGGAUUGUAGUCUGCAACUCGACUACAUGAAGCUGGAAUCGCUAGUAAUCGUAGAUCAGCAUGCUACGGUGAAUACGUUCCCGGGUCUUGUACACACCGCCCGUCACACCACGAGA
rnacentral:rRNA from 1 species